rnacentral:rRNA from 1 species
AUACGGAGGGGGUUAGCGUUGUUCGGAAUUACUGGGCGUAAAGCGCACGUAGGCGGACUGGAAAGUUGGGGGUGAAAUCCCGGGGCUCAACCCCGGAACUGCCUCCAAAACUUCCAAUCUCGAGAUCGAGAGAGGUGAGUGGAAUUCCAAGUGUAGAGGUGAAAUUCGUAGAUAUUUGGAGGAACACCAGUGGCGAAGGCGGCUCACUGGCUCGAUACUGACGCUGAGGUGCGAAAGCGUGGGGAGCAAACAGGAUUAGAAACCCUAGUAGUCC